GAUGUUUUUCUGUUUCCUUUCUCCUCAGAGGAACUGUGGCCUUCACUGGACCAGAGAGUGGAAACGAUGGCGUUUGUUAUUGAGAUGCUUUUGGAAACACUGAGUGACGAGGAGAGAAAAAGUUCA